rfam:Tyto alba contig150642, whole genome shotgun sequence.
CUUCAAUGAAGAUGAGAUGACGAGUCUGAAAGACAAUAUCCAAGUGCUCUGUUUCGUGUUGUGUUCUACAGCAUGGAUUUUGGGGACCUUGGAUCACAUUUUGAGUGACAUAGAGGCAUUUGUCUGAGAAGG